CAGUAGCCGCGGUAAUACGUAGGGUGCGAGCGUUAAUCGGAUUUACUGGGCGUAAAGCGUGCGUAGGCGGCUUUUUAAGUCGGAUGUGAAAUCCCUGAGCUUAACUUAGGAAUUGCAUUCGAUACUGGGAAGCUAGAGUAUGGGAGAGGAUGGUAGAAUUCCAGGUGUAGCGGUGAAAUGCGUAGAGAUCUGGAGGAAUACCGAUGGCGAAGGCAGCCAUCUGGCCUAAUACUGACGCUGAGGUACGAAAGCAUGGGGAGCAAACAGGAUUAGAUACCCCUGUAGUCCCUGUCUCUUAUAC
rnacentral:rRNA from 1 species